UACAGAGGGCCCAAGCGUUGUUCGGAUUCAUUGGGCGUAAAGGGUGCGUAGGCGGCUCGGUAAGUCGGGUGUGAAAUCUCGGGGCUUAACUCCGAAACUGCAUUCGAUACUGCCGUGCUUGAGGACUGGAGAGGAGACUGGAAUUUACGGUGUAGCGGUGAAAUGCGUAGAUAUCGUAAGGAAGACCAGUGGCGAAGGCGGGUCUCUGGACAGUUCCUGACGCUGAGGCACGAAGGCCUGGGGAGCAAACGGG
rnacentral:rRNA from 1 species